rnacentral:misc_RNA from 1 species
GAUGAAGAACGUAGCGAAAUGCGAAAAGUAGUGUGAAUUGCAGAAUUCAGUGAAUCAUCGAAUCUUUGAACGCACAUUGCGCCCCUUGGUAUUCCAUGGGGCAUGCCUGUUCGAGCGUCAUUUGUACCUUCAAGCUCUGCUUGGUGUUGGGUGUUUGUCCCGCUUUUUGCGUGGACUCGCCUCAAAGCAAUUGGCAGCCGGCGUACUAGCCUGGGAGCGCAGCACAUUUUGCGCAUCUCGACUGGAACGCUUGCGUCCAUUAAGCCUACACUUUUGCUCUUGACCUCGGAUCAGGUAGGGAUACCCGCUGAACUUAAGCAUAUCAAUAAGCGGAGGA